CUGGGCCGCCGUCCGCCUUCCAUUAAUUUGGAACCGGAAGAGAAAUUAUUUGAUUCAGAAGGGGGACGCCGCGGGACGAUGCUGCGCAUGCGCAGCAGGCCAUCUUUCUCCCCUCCCCCCCUUUCCCCUCGCAGGAGGCUAACUGUUACUCAUUUUCCGCGAAGAAACAGAGUCUGGGGCUAUGUCGGGCAACCCUAACCGCGGCUCCCAGAGGGCGGGCACCAGCCGGCAGCGGGACUCGUUCCCGCCCGGUCCGCGAGAAGCGAGCGGCUGUCGGACCCCGCAGCGCAGCCAGGGGAUCGAUGGCCGAAGCGAUGGCGUCGACGAAGCCGAGGACGAGACCUGUCCGGCCCCCGGAUCCUCGGAUCCGAGUUCAGAGCCCGAGGGCGAGGACGGCCGGCGGCGCCUGAUCCGCCACCAGUACCGGGAGCUCAUCCACCACGUGCAGCAGCAACGAGAAGACAUGUUGAGUUCAAAAAGCAACAAAUUAACAGAUGCACUUGAACAAGCCAACCAGCUGUUUAACAGAGUGUCCCAAGCAAGAGAAGCAGCCCUAGAUGCCCAGUUUCUUGUUUUGGCUUCAGACUUGGGUAAAGAAAAAGCAAAUCAGUUGCAUUCUGAUAUGACCUUAUUUGAUCCAACAUCAUAUGCUGAAGAUUUACUUAAGUAUAUGGGUCUAAAUCGACUUGAAGUACUUGAAGAAAGUGAUAGUGAGGAAGAACCUCUUCAUAUUGGAUUCUUACCUGAUAAUUCCUGGCUCAGAGUAGGAAUAACAUCAGUAAAACACUUCAAGAAUGCUCCAACAUUCCACUUUUUGUUUGGUUCAUUCAAGACUGAUCCUCCUAUGCCAAAGCAACGGAAUGAACGGCAAAGAAGAAAAGAUAAGCAAGAAGAAGAAAGGGCCAUGCCUGCUGAGUUGAAAAAAAUGGAGGAGUCCCAACAAGAGGCUACAGAAAAGGAGGUAGAAAGGAUCUUGGGAUUACUGCAGACUUAUUUUAGAGAAGAGCCUGAGACUCCCAUAUCCUUCUUUGACUUUGUGAUUGAUCCAGAUUCUUUUGCCCGAACUGUGGAAAAUAUUUUCCAUGUUUCCUUCAUUGUAAGGGAUGGUUUUGCAAGAAUAAGGCUUGACCAAGAUAAACUGCCAAUAAUAGCAGCAAAGAAUCAGAUAUGGGCUAUACAGAGCCCAUUACCCAGGGUAAUGAAGAAAGUGAACAACAAAGCACCCAAAUCAGGCACCAAGAUAUUAUAUCACUGAGUUAUCAAGACUGGAAGGACAUUGUGAGAACUUUUGAAAUUUCACAGCCUAUGAUCUCUCCUUCUUGCUGUAGCAAGUAAAAUCCAAGCUUGCUAAGGUGUCUCAAAUGAAAACUGGCACCUUAUAUGGAAAGAAGCACAUAUCAUUUAUUGUAUUAUGAAGUGUGUUUUCCAGAGAAUUAGAUGUUUAGGGUUUUUUGGUUUGUUUGUUUGUUUACAUAUUUUUUAUUUUAUUGUUUUUAAAGCUGCCUUGCUUUCCUAUGAUUAAAGACAUUCACUGCCAUAUCUGUUA